GGGCACACAGCAGAAGGACGUCACCAUCAAGUCAGAUGCGCCUGACACCCUGCUGCUCGAGAAGCAUGCUGAUUAUAUCGCCUCGUACGGCUCAAAGAAAGAUGAUUAUGAAUACUGCAUGUCCGAAUACUUGAGAAUGAGCGGCGUCUACUGGGGCCUGACAGUGAUGGACCUCAUGGGGCAGCUUCAUCGGAUGAAUAAAGAGGAGAUACUGGUGUUUAUCAAGUCGUGCCAGCAUGAGUUGUGGGGGAGUCAGUGCCAGCAUCGGGCACGACCCCCACCUUCUCUACACGCUCAGUGCUGUCCAGAUUCUCACUCUGUAUGAUAGCAUCCAUGUAAUCAACGUAGACAAAGUGGUAGCCUAUGUUCAGAGUCUACAGAAAGAAGAUGGUUCCUUUGCUGGAGACAUCUGGGGUCCCACUAAGCAGUUGGUCUAACUGGAGUAAAAUGGCCUGCUGGAAGUCCCAGCAUGCCCCGUGCUGGCUUGUCAGCACGCCACACUAAAAGAUAAGGAGAAAUCGAUACAAGAUUCUCAUUUUGUGCAGUGGCAACUUUGGCUCUCUUGGGCAAACUUGAUGCUAUUAAUGUGGAAAAGGCCAUUGAAUUUGUUUUGUCCUGUAUGAACUUUGAUGGUGGAUUUGGGUGCAGACCAGGCUCUGAAUCUCACGCCGGACAGGAUUCCUGGCCAUAACUAGUCAGUUGCAUCAAGUGAACUCCGACCUACUUGGUUGGUGGCUUUGUGAACGACAGUUGCCCUCUGGCGGACUCAAUGGAAGACCCGAGAAGUUACCAGAUGUGUGCUAUUCCUGGUGGGUGUUGGCCUCCUUAAAGAUAAUCGGGAGACUUCAUUGGAUUGACAGAGAAAAGCUUCGAAGCUUCAUCUUGGCAUGUCAAGAUGAAGAGACAGGAGGGUUUGCAGACAG
rnacentral:lncRNA from 1 species